CCUAGGGUGGCAGCAGUAGGGAAUUUUGCGCAAUGGGCGAAAGCCUGACGCAGCAACGCCGCGUGAUUGAUUAAGCCCUUCGGGGUGUAAAGAUCUGUCAGUGGGGACGAAACUUGACGGUACCCACAGAGGAAGCACCGGCUAACUCCGUGCCAGCAGCCGCGGUAAUAAGGAGGGUGCAAGCGUUGUCCGGAAUCAUUGGGCGUAAAGAGGUCGUAGGUGGGAUAUUAAGUCUGGUGUUAAAUGCAGAAGCCCAACGUCUGUUCGGCACUGGAUACUGGUAAGCGUGAAUGGGGUAGAGGGAAAGGGAAUUCCUGGUGGAGCGGUGAAAUGCGUAGAUAUCAGGGAGAACAUCGGUGGCGAAAG
rnacentral:rRNA from 1 species